UGGAGGUGACUCCGAGGUGGGUGGGAUGUGGGAAUGCCGGAGGGAUCGGGAUCAUUGGGAAGGGCUGGAUCCAUGGGAUGAGGUGGGUGGGAUGUGGGAAUGCCGGAGGGAUCGGGAUCAUCGGGAAGGGCUGGAUCCAUGGGAUGAGGGCGAUGGUGUGAAGGUCCCCAAGGCUGAGUGCCGGCUCC